UGCACUCACUGCUGUAAGUCUCUCUGGAUAAGAGCGUCUGCUAAAUGACUAAAA
rfam:Salmo salar isolate Sally breed double haploid chromosome ssa17, whole genome shotgun sequence.